CAAAAAUCGCUCGAAUGAACGUUACUUUCAAUUAUGUCAUUUUCCGUUAAAGUUCAUUAUAGCACAAUAUAAAGAACGCCUCGUGCUAUUUCUUUGCAUAACAAUUUUAGUUUGAUAUAGAUACAGGACUAUUGCUGUUGAAUAAUGAGUGCCUACCUUGGAUUUUGCUGCAUAUUGAUUUGCUUCACAGGAUUGAAGUAUACUGAAGCUGCUGUAACGUGCUUUCCCACUGUGGACUGUGGUUUUAAUAUUGAUGGUUGCACUUCUUUCUGUGUUGAGAAAUUCUGUGCAGGAUCAGCGAGGUGCGUCGGAAACAACCAGUGUUGCUGUGGUGGCUGUGUUGUUGUAAAGCCGCCGAAGAGAUAUUAAGAACAAAAAGGAUCUCAACCAACACAUGAUAGACCAUUCAAGUUUGAAAUUAAUAAUGGAUAUAUUAAAUUAGUUCAUAAACAAAGAAACUAACAACAGAUUGUUAUCAUUAAGACGUGCUUUCAUGUUUAUAUAUAUAAAAAAAAGAUGUUGUAUGAUUGCCAAUGAGACAAUUCUCCACCAGAGACCAAAAUGACACAGAAAUUAACAAUUAUAGGUCACCGUACGGCCUUCAACAAUGAGAAAAGACUAAAU